UACGAAGGGGGCUAGCGUUGCUCGGAAUCACUGGGCGUAAAGGGCGCGUAGGCGGACUUUUAAGUCGGGGGUGAAAGCCCAGGGCUCAACCCUGGAAUUGCCUUCGAUACUGAGAGUCUUGAGUUCGGAAGAGGUUGGUGGAACUGCGAGUGUAGAGGUGAAAUUCGUAGAUAUUCGCAAGAACACCAGUGGCGAAGGCGGCCAACUGGUCCGAUACUGACGCUGAGGCG
rnacentral:rRNA from 1 species